AGUGAACGCUGGCGGCGUGCCUAAUACAUGCAAGUCGAACGAAGUGGCGCACGGGUGAGUAAUAUAUAGUUAAUCUGCCCUACACAGAGGAACAACAGUUGGAAACGACUGCUAAUACCUCAUAGUGUAGGAUGCGACUAUAUCGUAUCAGCUAGUUGGUAAGGUAAUGGCUUACCAAGGCUAUGACGCGUAACUGGUCUGAGAGGAUGAUCAGUCACAUGGGAACUGAGACACGUUCCAAAUGCAUACGGUAGGCAGAAGUAAGGAAUAAUGCGCAAAGGGGGAAACCCUGACGCAGCGACGCCGCGUGGGGGAUGAAGGAUUUCGGGUUGUAAACCUCUUUCACGAUCGAACUUUUUUUGGUGGGUUGAGGGUAGGUGGAGAAGAAGCGCCGGCUAACUACGUGCCAGCCGCCGCGGUAAUAC
rnacentral:rRNA from 1 species